UGGAGUAUCGAAAAUAUCUUACCACGGGUGCAGCAGUUCCUGCGCGAACAGCACGUCGAUGGAAAAGGUCAGCGGCAUGUUCAGGCUCCCCAAGGAGAAAAAAAGUAUGUGUUUCUGCUGUUACCCUAAGUGAUCCUGCACGCAUCUCCUGUGGUCCUGCACUCGACUCCCGUCACUUCCUGCACUCGAUCCUUAAUCCUGAUCCUGCACUCAUCUCCUGUGGUCCUGCACUGAUUU